GACAGAGGGUGCGAACGUUGUUCGGAAUUACUGGGCGUAAAGCGCAUGUAGGCGGCAGCGCAAGUCGGGCGUGAAAUCCCACGGCUCAACCGUGGAAGUGCACUCGAAACUGCGCAGCUAGAGUCCUGGAGAGGAAGGUGGAAUGCUUGGUGUAGAGGUGAAAUUCGUAGAUAUCAAGCGGAACACCGGUGGCGAAGGCGGUUCUACUGGGCCUUACCUG
rnacentral:rRNA from 1 species